UACGGAGGGUGCAAGCAUUAAUCGGAUUUAUUGGGCGUAAAGGGCGCGUAGGCGGGGAUAAUAGUCAGAUGUGAAAUCCUGGGGCUCAACCUCAGAACUGCAUUUGAAAACUGUAUCUCUAGAGGGUAGGAGGAGAAAACGGAAUUCCACAAGUAGCGGUGAAAUGCGUAGAUAUGUGGAAGAACACCGGUGGCGAAGGCGGUUUUUCUAUCUUAUUCCUGACGCUGAGGCGCGAAAAGCAAGGGGGAUCAAACAGG
rnacentral:rRNA from 1 species